rnacentral:rRNA from 1 species
GGCCAGACUCCUACGGGAGGCAGCAGUGGGGAAUAUUGCACAAUGGGCGAAAGCCUGAUGCAGCAACGCCGCGUGAAGGAAGAAGGGUUUCGGCUCGUAAACUUCUAUCAACAGGGACGAAAGAAAUGACGGUACCUGAAUAAGAAGCCCCGGCUAACUACGUGCCAGCAGCCGCGGUAAUACGUAGGGGGCAAGCGUUAUCCGGAUUUACUGGGUGUAAAGGGAGCGUAGACGGCCAGACAAGUCUGAAGUGAAAAUCCAGCGCUUAACGCUGGAAGUGCUUUGGAAACUGGCAGGCUGGAGUGUCGGAGAGGCAGGCGGAAUUCCUAGCGUAGCGGUGAAAUGCGUAGAUAUUAGGAGGAACACCAGUGGCGAAGGCGGCCUGCUGGACGAUGACUGACGCUGAGGCUCGAAAGCGUGGGGAGCAAACAGGAUUAGAUACCCGAGUA